GUAUCUUUGUUUCUCACCAAGUCCCUAGCCCAGCAGUCUACACAUAGUAGGCAUUUAACACAAAUGUAUUGAAUAGGAGAAUGAAUGAAAGAUAAAGGUGAGGAAAAGGAAAAAAUCAAAGAUGGUGCUGAGAUUUUCCCUGACAUCUCUAUAAGAAAUCAAUAUAAUCAUUUUUCGGAAAACUUGUGGUUUCUGAUGUCCAGGGAGGAAAAGAGAAAGAAAAAAAGAGAAGAAAACGGUUAUAUUUCCUAUGACAGUUAAACUUCCAAAACUCCAUCAUUACCUUAUGGAUAAAUUGAGGCUUUGGGAGAUGGAAUGGAUUUGUCUAAGGUUUCUUCAAAUCAUAGCACUGCAAAUGGGCUUUUUAUCAGGGAAAGGGGAGGAUCAGACUGUAAUAAGGAACCAAAAGGGAAAUUCAACAUAUCUUAAUAUCCUGCAACUAAAUUUUUCUCUCUGCUAUGAUCGCCAGGAGCCGGAAAUUGUAGGUAAGACUCGAGAAUUCCUGUCCCUGCUCAGUUAGAAUCCUGUUUGAUUACAAUCAUUUCAGAAGGAUGAGCCUGAAAUUGAAACCAUCAAAGAGAAAAGCCAGCCAGGGUAGCUUUUAUCAGGGCUAAUAUGUGCUUUAAAUUGGAAAUGUCUAAUGUGAAAAACGUCCCACAAAUGCAAACAGUCCUCAGUGACAUCAAAUUAUUCCCAUUUUUUCUUCAGAUAAUAGUAAAAUCCCAAGGAAAAAGUUAUGAAGAAAUAAGGUUCUCUGUAUUAUAGCAACAAGAAAAUGCAAAUAAUGGGACCUUCUCCUUUAGUUUGUAAAACCUGCAGUGUUUGAGUGACAAUCAGAACCAGGUGCGACAGGCAAGCUCUACCAAGUGUUAUGAAAUUUUUUCAUCUCUUCCUAUUGCUUCUCCUAGUUAUUACAAGAUAGGAUUUGAAGUUAGAAGGAAGAUUAAAGAUCAUCUACUAUAACCCCUUCAUUUUAAAGAAAAGGAAAUUGAGACGCAAAAACCUUAAGUAGCCUUCCUGGGGUCAUUUAAGCUAUCAAACAGCAAAACUGUCAUUAUAGGGUAGUGGAUAGACCGCUGGUUUCAGAGUCAGGAAGACCUGCAUUUGAAUCUUACCUCAGACAAUUCGU